rnacentral:rRNA from 1 species
AUUUUUGACAAUGGGGGAAACCGUGAUCCAGCCAUCCCGCGUGUAGGAUGAAGGCCUUNGGGUUGNANAGUACUUUUGGCAGAGANGAAAAGGUAUCUCCUAAUACGAGAUACUGCUGACGGUAUCUGCAGAAUAAGCACCGGCUAACUACGUGCCAGCAGCAGCUGUAAUACGUAGGGUGCAAGCGUUAAUCGGAAUUACUGAGCGUAAAGCGUGUGUAGGCGGUUCGGAAAGAAAGAUGUGAAAUCCCAGGGCUCAACCUUGGAACUGCAUUUUUAACUGCCGAGCUAGAGUGUGUCAGAGGGGGGUAGAAUUCCACGUGUAGCAGUGAAAUGCGUAGAUAUGUGGAGGAAUACCGAUGGCGAAGGCAGCCCCCUGGGAUAAUACUGACGCUAAGACACGAAAGCGUGGGGAGCAAACAG